rnacentral:rRNA from 1 species
UACGUAGGGUGCGAGCGUUAAUCGGAAUUACUGGGCGUAAAGCGUGCGCAGGCGGUUCGUGAUGUCUGGUGUGAAAGCCCCGGGCUUAACCUGGGAAUUGCAUUUGAGACUGCAUAGCUAGGGUGCGGAAGAGGGAAGCGGAAUUUCCGGUGUAGCGGUGAAAUGCGUAGAUAUCGGAAGGAACACCAGUGGCGAAAGCGGCUUCCUGGUCCAGCACCGACGUUCAGGCACGAAAGCGUGGGGAGCAAACAGG